UAGAGUUUGAUCCUGGCUCAGAUUGAACGCUGGCGGCAGGCCUAACACAUGCAAGUCGAGCGGCAGCGGGAAAGUAGCUUGCUACUUUUGCCGGCGAGCGGCGGACGGGUGAGUAAUGCCUGGGGAUCUGCCCAGUCGAGGGGGAUAACUACUGGAAACGGUAGCUAAUACCGCAUACGCCCUACGGGGAAAAGCAGGGGACCUUCGGGCCUUGCGCGAUUGGAUGAACCCAGGUGGGAUUAGCUAGUUGGAGAGGUAAUGGCUCACCGAGGCGACGAUCCCUAGCUGGUCUGAGAGGAUGAUCACCCACACUGGAACUGAGACACGGUCCAUACUCCUACGGGAGGCAGCAGUGGGGAAUAUUGCACAAUGGGGGAAACCCUGAUGCAGCCAUGCCGCGUGUGUGAAGAAGGCCUUCGGGUUGUAAAGCACUUUCAGCGAGGAGGAAAGGUUGGUAGCUAAUAACUGCCAGCUGUGACGUUACUCGCAGAAGAAGCACCGGCUAACUCCGUGCCAGCAGCCGCGGUGAUACGGAGGGUGCAAGCGUUAAUCGGAAUUACUGGGCGUAAAGCGCACGCAGGCGGUUGGAUAAGUUAGAUGUGAAAGCCCCGGGCUCAACCUGGGAAUUGCAUUUAAAACUGUCCAGCUAGAGUCUUGUAGAGGGGGGUAGAAUUCCAGGUGUAGCGGUGAAAUGCGUAGAGAUCUGGAGGAAUACCGGUGGCGAAGGCGGCCCCCUGGACAAAGACUGACGCUCAGGUGCGAAAGCGUGGGGAGCAAACAGGAUUAGAUACCCUGGUAGUCCACGCCGUAAACGAU
rnacentral:rRNA from 1 species